UCACCAGACUCCUACGGGAGGCAGCAGUGGGGAAUAUUGCACAAUGGGGGAAACCCUGAUGCAGCGACGCCGCGUGAGUGAAGAAGUAAUUCGUUAUGUAAAGCUCUAUCAGCAGGGAAGAAAAUGACGGUACCUGAGUAAGAAGCCCCGGCUAACUACGUGCCAGCAGCCGCGGUAAUACGUAGGGGGCAAGCGUUAUCCGGAUUUACUGGGUGUAAAGGGAGCGUAGACGGCUGUGCAAGUCUGAAGUGAAAGCCCAGGGCUCAACCCUGGGACUGCUUUGGAAACUGUGGAGCUAGAGUGCUGGAGAGGUAAGUGGAAUUCCUAGUGUAGCGGUGAAAUGCGUAGAUAUUAGGAGGAACACCAGUGGCGAAGGCGGCCUGCUGGACGAUGACUGACGUUGAGGCUCGAAAGCGUGGGGAGCAAACAGGAUUAGAUACCCGGGUAC
rnacentral:rRNA from 1 species